GAUGAACGUUGGCGGCGUGCCUAACACAUGCAAGUCGAACGCUAAUAGCAAUAUUAGAGUGGCGCACGGGUGAGUAACACGUAGCUGACCCACCUCUCAGCGCGGGAUAACGGUUCGAAAGAACUGCUAAUACCGCAUAAGCUCACCGGCUUUAGAGGCCGGUGAGAAAAGGCUCAGGUCACUGGGAGCGGGGGCUGCGGCCCAUCAGCUAGUUGGUGCGGUAACGGCGUACCAAGGCGACGACGGGUAGGGGACCUGAGAGGGUGACCCCCCACACUGGGACUGAGACACGGCCCAGACUCCUACGGGAGGCAGCAGUGAGGAAUAUUGCACAAUGGGCGCAAGCCUGAUGCAGCGACGCCGCGUGGGUGACGAAGGUCUUCGGGUUGUAAAGCACUUUCAGUAGGGAAGAAAAGCCGAGUGCUAAUAUCACUCGGUCUUGACGUUACUUACAGAAGAAGCACCGGCUAACUUCGUGCCAGCAGCCGCGGUAAUACGUAGGGUGCGAGCGUUGUCCGGAAUUAUUGGGCGUAAAGAGCUCGUAGGCGGUUUGUCACGUCGGCUGUGAAAACUCGGGGCUCAACCCCGAGCCUGCAGCCGAUACGGGCAGACUAGAGUUCGGCAGGGGAGACUGGAAUUCCUGGU
rnacentral:rRNA from 1 species